UACGGGGGGGGCAAGCGUUGUUCGGAAUUACUGGGCGUAAAGGGCUCGUAGGUGGUCAACUAAGUCGGACGUGAAAUCCCUCGGCUUAACCGGGGAACUGCGUCCGAUACUGGAUGACUUGAGUUCGGGAGAGGGAUGCGGAAUUCCAGGUGUAGCGGUGAAAUGCGUAGAGAUCGGGAAGAACAUCGGUGGCGAAAGCGCUCUACUGGACCGCAACUGACACUCAGGGACGAAAGCUAGGGGAGCGAAUGGG
rnacentral:rRNA from 1 species